GGAUGCGAUCAUACCAGCACUAACGCACCGGAUCCCAUCAGAACUCCGAAGUUAAGCGUGCUUGGGCGAGAGUUGUACUAGGAUGGGUGACCCCCUGGGAAGUCCUCGUGUUGCAUCCC
rfam:Nicotiana sylvestris Nsyl_contig172576, whole genome shotgun sequence.